CCUACGGGGAGCAGCAGUGAGGAAUAUUGGUCAAUGGACGAGAGUCUGAACCAGCCAAGUAUCGUGAAGGAUGACUGCCCUAUGGGUUGUAAACUUCUUUUAUAAAGGAAUAAAACGAGGCACGUGUGCCUUUUUGCAUGUACUUUAUGAAUAAGGAUCGGCUAACUCCGUGCCAGCAGCCGCGGUAAUACGGAGGAUCCGAGCGUUAUCCGGAUUUAUUGGGUUUAAAGGGAGCGUAGAUGGGUUGUUAAGUCAGUUGUGAAAGUGUGCGGCUCAACCGUAAAAUUGCAAUUGAUACUGGCAGUCGUGAGUACAGUUGAGGUAGGCGGAAUUCGUGGUGUAGCGGUGAAAUGCUUAGAUAUCACGAAGAACCCCGAUUGCGAAGGCAGCUUACUAAACUGUGACUGACAUUGAUGCUCGAAAGUGUGGGUAUCAAACAGGAUUAGAUACCCCAGUAGUC
rnacentral:rRNA from 1 species